GGUGGGUGUAUUUCCCUUCUUUUCUUUGAAGAAAUUUUGAAUCAUCAUGUAACUGGCAUUCCCUUGUGAUAUUGCACAAUUGCUAUUGGUUAAAUAAUUUCCACAAUUAGGUUGUGGUGGGUUAUUCAUUGGAUGCCAUAAACUGAUAGACUGGUGCCUGGAAGCAAAAUUUUGGCAGCAUGGUUUAUAAUGGCUUCCUGAUAAUUGCACCAUGAACUAUAGAACUCCACAUUGCUAUGUUUCAAAUUUCAUUUUGUUAGUGCUUUAUAAAUGUGCAUAGUAUUAUCGUAUAAUCCUGGCCCUGCCAAUAUAAGUCCAAAGUCUCCUCUCCAUAAUUAUCAUGCAAAAAGAAUGUCACUUUUUAUGUUUCAUGAAAUCAACCAUAAGUGCCAAGCACUCGGCUCAAAAAUCAUGUAAUAUUGAAUUGCAAUACAGAUGAGGUAUGAAAUCUGCUCCUCUUGUAUAAUAUUCUGUGCUUACAACCUACUUUUCUUUUUCUCUAAAGAUAUAAUUUGUUAAACAUAGUUUUAUGAUUAUUAUGUUGAAUUUUAUUCUACUCCUGAAAUAAA
rnacentral:misc_RNA from 1 species